AUACGGAGGGUGCAAGCGUUAAUCGGAAUUACUGGGCGUAAAGCGUACGUAGGUGGUUUGUUAAGUUGGAUGUGAAAGCCCAGGGCUCAACCUUGGAACUGCAUUCAAAACUGGCGAACUAGAGUAUGGUAGAGGUGAGUGGAAUUUCCUGUGUAGCGGUGAAAUGCGUAGAGAUGGGAAGGAACAUCAGUGGCGAAGGCGACUCACUGGACCAAUACUGACACUGAGGAGCGAAAAGCAUGGGUAGCGAAGAGGAUUAGAUACCCUCGUAGUCCAUGCCGUAAACGAUAGUGUGCUUAGACGUUGGAAAUAUAAUUUUUCAGUGUACGCAGCGAAAGCAUUAAGCACACCGCCUGGGGAGUACGACCGCAAGGUUAAAACUCAAAUGAAUUGACGGGACCCGCACAAGCAGUGGAGCAUGUGG
rnacentral:rRNA from 1 species